rnacentral:sRNA from 1 species
GUUGAAACCUGAGCAGACAGGUAAAACAGGCCAUCAACCAUUAAGUGUGUACUUUUAUUAGUACAUGAAUAUUGAUGUUACAAAAAUAUAUCUACAUAUUAUCUAUCAUUUUUCUACUACUUUUGAUAUUUGUAUGCAACUAUUUAUCUAUAACCCGCCUCGUUUUCCAUAAUAGUAUUACUAUUGAAAAUACACUAAAUAUUCUAGAAAAUAGAGAUCUUCCAUAUGUACCAAAAAACGCCACCCCCCCCCCCCAAAAAAAAAAAAAACAAACAAAAAAAACAACAACAUAACAGUUUUUUUGUAAUAGUUUUAGAACUUUCAACUCGAUAAAUGCUUUGAUUUCCUAAACUGGAAAUCGCAACACACAGCAUGUACUGGAGGCGAUGUUGCUCAAAAACUAUUUUCUUUUUAAAUCAUAAUUGACUCUGUACACUUAAAUAUCAAAAACAACUGAUCUAAUUUCGCAUAAUAAAUGUUUGUAAACGUAACAUCAAAAUUAAAUUUUUCUCUGUACAGAAGUAAAAAAAAAAAAAGAUUUCAAAUGGCAAUGGCUUUUAUCAUUUAGUCUCAUUAUGAUUUUGAUUUAAUUGAUGAAGAAAAGUUAAGUGUAGAACUUUACUUUUUUAAUGAAUUUUCCAU